AGUAUGGUGAGCAUUCUGCUUUUAUAGGAAAAGGAGUAAAAUUUAUUAGAACAUGGCAAUUAUAGUAAAGGACAAAUUCUGAAUUAGGUAUUAUACAGUUUUCUAUACAAAAUGUAUACUUUGCAUUUUUGUAAAUGACUAAUUUCCAAGGUUCCUGAAGUUCAUUGUCCUCUCCAUCCGAUGUGUGUGCUGCAGAGCAGAGGUGGACGCGGAUGCAUCUGGGAAUGUGUCAUGUGGAAACCACAUACUGAGCUGAGGUUCAGAGUCUGAAUUCUCAAAGUGAAACUCACCUAUAUUUUAUUUUUAAAUGAAAUCAUAAACUUCCCCCUAAAUAAUUCAGAAAUCAGUUUUCUUGUGUUUUUUAAAACAAACUCAAGGUGUGUCAUAUGUAAAUGGACAGAAAUCACCCCCAUUUCAGCUGCUUAGAGCCAGCACUUUAUAGAAGGAAAAGGAAAGUGGUGAAAAAGGCAGAACAGGGAGGUGGAGUGUCCAGGAAGUUAAAGCUAUUGAAAUCAGAGUGGGUAAUUUUGAAAGGCUGCAUCAUGAUGUAGGCAGGAAGAGAAGAGAGAAUCUUGGAGGAGGAAGAAUAAGGAGAAAGGGUUUGGUGACAAAGUCCUAAUGUCAUUUAGUGGUGGCUGUGAACUUGUACAAAACCCAGAAAAUGAGGAAAAAUUAGAUAUGGAGGAAGAAGAUGACAAAAAAUGAGAUUGAGAAGAGUUUAGUGUGAACGUGUCGACACUGGGGUUUUGGGUGGUUAACUGCUCCUUCAGUUCCCUCCCGUUUGCAUUGUCCGUCAGGAGUCCUAUCUACAGUGUGCCGUGGUGCUGAAGGCCAGCGAUGAAGGGUGAUUCGUGUGGAAGAACGGGAAGACCAUGAGCAUGGAGGCAGAUGGCCCAUCUGUGCGUGCUGUCGCUGCUGUGGAUUUAGGGACCAUCUGUACCAGAGGCACAUGAAUCUGGUUAAAACUGCUCAUGAGACUGAACUUUGGAAGGCCUAUGCAGAAGGAAAUCACUGGAGGAAAGACUAGAUGUGAAAAUGAGGUGAAACCAGUCCGAGGUUCUGUGCUUCUGUUAACUCCAGCUUGCCCUGCAGUUGGACGCUGGCUUGCUGUUUUCUCUCCUGCCAAAGGGGUUGUUGAAGAACAACACAAGUUGACACCACAGCCUCUCCAGGCAGUUUACCAAAAGGUAGGACAUUGGGGAAGAGUGGAGCGCUAAGAAUUGGAAUGUGGAUCUUUGAGAGGAUUCUGAUGAAUAUGAGAACCCUAACUUCCAGUUUCACUGCACCUCUCUCUUCGUUAGAAUCCAGUGCUCUCCCCGACCUGAAGGCAGCCUCCCUUGUUGAAGGCUUUGUAAUGUUCUCACUGAAGCAAUUAGCUUGCAAGAGAAUGCUAUUCUCAAGGCCCACCUCACCAACUUUUGCUGCCUCCAGACCCAUUACCUGCACACCAUGGGAGAUGAAUACAAAGUCUGAACUGGGUAAAGAGGCAUAUACAAAGAUUUUUUUGUAGUUGUUAUCAGAAGAAUCCUGAGUAAAAUGUUUGAAAGUGAUUUUAUUGACAUUAUAAAAGGAGGAGAACAGUGUUGGAUUGAGAUGAAUUUACUGAUAUAGAUGUACUUAGCAAAUAUUUGGGAUUCACUGUUAGCAUGAGCAGUUGAUUGUGACUCCUACACUUUGCUUUGUUGGUUGAUUAAUAGCUGGAGUAAUUGGUGGCCACAUUAAAUGAAUUUGAGAGCCAUAACUUCCUUGAUUUAAUGUAGAGGAAGGAAUCUCUAGGCUUCUGAUGGAAUAGAUUUAUGAUAAUAAUGGAAUGGAGUGAGAUUCCUCAUGCAUUUUCUCACUUGGUUCUGCUAAGAGGGCACUGAGACAUUCUUUUUACCAAAGUAUGGAGAAAUAUAUUAAUGAAAGGAACACUAGUAUCCUUGAAGAACUCAUAUAAACCAUUUUCUACUUGAUAAUGGAAUGCUGCUGGGCAUGUCCAAUUUGAUGCCUCUCUUGCCCAGCCUGACAGUGGUCCUGAGGUGGGCAUCCCUGAUCCAGCAUUCCAGAGUCAAGCCUAGUUAGUGCUUUGUCCUUCAGUACCAGGAAUUCUGGAGAAGAUGCUCAUUUGAGGUAUAACCAACAAAAGGUGGUAAAGCUUUUCUACACACAUGAAAAGGAAAAAAAUUAAAGUUUUCUUGAGAUGCAGGUGAACUAAAAAAUCUAGAGAAUUGACACCAUGAUGAUAGUGUGUGUAUGUGUGUGCCUGUGUGUGGUUAUAGAUAAGCAGCAUGCCUCCCCCCGUCUUUGUACAUGCUAACCCUUUACCUAGAAGGCUUUUAUCCUCCUGUUCUGAUGGUCUAAAACUCCAUUUCUUUUCAAGAUUCAAGUCAGGCCUCAUCUUUUCCAGGAAAAGUUUUCCUACACCUCCCUUCUCCCAGAAGAUGCAGUAUAAACAUUUAUCAGCACAUUAUCAUUGUGUAUUAUCAAUAUGGAUUCUUUUGACUAUCCUUCCCACUGACUUCCUUCUCAAAGACAAGGGAUAUUGGUACUCAGUAUUUGUGGAUUGGAAUGCUUAACAAGAUAAACUCUCAACUAUAAAAAGGAAUAAAUCAUCAAAAUGGUGGAUUUUUUUGUAAUGUUACUUUAUUAUUUGGGUAAAAGAUUCAGAUAUGAAGUAUCUAAAGUAUAUUUCACAGUUUAUUGGAAACUAAUAAACAGGGUUGACUGCAAAGGUGAUAGAAAGAAAAUAAAGGAAUAGCAGAGCUUCUAUUUUGUCCAUUUUAAAUCUUCUAAUCUGCUUUCCU